rnacentral:rRNA from 1 species
UACAGAGGUCUCAAGCGUUGUUCGGAUUCAUUGGGCGUAAAGGGUGCGUAGGCGGCGCGGUAAGUCGGGUGUGAAAUCUUGGAGCUUAACUCCGAAACUGCAUUCGAUACUGCCGUGCUUGAGGACUGGAGAGGAGACUGGAAUUUACGGUGUAGCGGUGAAAUGCGUAGAUAAUCGUAAGGAAGACCAGUGGCGAAGGCGGGUCUCUGGACAGUUCCUGACGCUGGAGGCACGAAGGCCAGGGAGCAAACGGG